rnacentral:rRNA from 1 species
AACGAACGCUGGCGGCAGGCCUAACACAUGCAAGUCGAGCGCGCGCUCCGUGGUGACUGGCGGACGGGGGUGUAACGCGGCGGAACGGUCCCUUUUCUACCGAAUACCCUCUUUAAGCGGAGAGUAAUACCGUAUACGCCCUUUUGGUGAAAGAUUUGUCGGAAAAGGAUCGGCCGGCGUUGGUUUACGUAGUGGGUGGGGUAAUAGCCUACCAAGCCGACGAUCCAUAGCUGGGUUGAGAGGCUGAUCAGCCACACUGGGACGGAGCCACGGCCGAGAAUAAUAAGGGAGGCAGAAGAGGGGAAUCUUAGACAAUGGGGGCAACUAUGAACGAGCCAUGCCGCGUGAGUCAUGAAGGCGUUAGAGUAAUACAGCACGUUAAGCUGCGGAGAUAAUGACGGUACCCAAAGAAGAAGCACCGGCUAACUCCGUG